rnacentral:rRNA from 1 species
CAUGGCUCAGGAUGAACGCUAGCGGCAGGCUUAACACAUGCAAGUCGAGGGGCAUCGGGAGUAGCAAUACUUGCCGGCGACCGGCGCAAGGGUGCGUAACGCGUGAGCAACAUGCCCGUAUCAGGGGGAUAAUCCAUGGAAACGUGGUCUAAUACCCCAUAGUAAUUAUGUAAGGCAUCUUAUAUAAUUUAAAGCUUUGGUGGAUACGGAUUGGCUCGCGUGACAUUAGCUAGACGGUAAGGUAACGGCUUACCAUGGCUACGAUGUCUAGGGGUUCUGAGAGGAAGGUCCCCCACACUGGAACUGAGACACGGUCCAGACUCCUACGGGAGGCAGCAGUGAGGAAUAUUGGACAAUGGAUGGAAAUCUGAUCCAGCCAUGCCGCGUGCAAGGGAAGACGGCCCUAUGGGUUGUAAACUGCUUUUGUAUGGGAGCAAUAAGGGCUACGCGUAGUCCGAUGAGAGUACCAUACGAAUAAGCACCGGCUAACUCCGUGCCAGCCGCGGC